GCUUUUCACUGGCUUUGACAGCGCAUACUAAAACUGGAAUGAUAGAGAUACAACUAGCAAAGUCCCUGUUCAGUGACGGCAUGAGAGUCAGUGAGCUGCUCCAUAUUCUA
rnacentral:snRNA from 1 species